AGAGAGGGGGGACGGGAGACAGAGGAUCCGAAGUGGGCUCUGAGCUGUCAGCACAGAGCUGGAUGCGGGGCUUGAACUCAUGAACCAUGAGGUCAUGACCUGAGCCAAAAUCGGUCGCUCAACUGGCUGAGCCACCCAGGUGCCCUGAGAAAUUUAAUUUUUUAAAAAAGAAAUUAGAGAUCCUAAAAAUUUUCUAGAUAUUUCCCGGAGAAUUACAGAGAACUUCAAUUUCAGCAAACUAGCACGGCUAUAGCUCUUUUCAUGUUCUUCUCUGACCACCUUGUAUCUGCCCAGGAUUUGUUUAUCAUUUAUACAAGUUGUUCAAUAUUGGAAACAAUCCUUUUAUUUACUUUUUGUUAGUUGAUAUUGUCCUGCUUUGAAUUCACUUCCACAAAAUCAAGAUAAUAGUAACAAAAAAGUGAUUUGUGUUUUGUUACUCCUGGAAAAGGUGCUGGUCUUGCCAGGGAUUUUAAAACAUUAUAAAGUACUCUUUCAAAAACUUAAACUUACCACCACCCUCAGCAUUCGCUCAUCAGUCAUGUUUUCCAAGAGUUUAUACUUGUCUCUAUAUAUACCAGUUGUACAACACAGUCAAGACCAUGGGCUCAAGAUGAAUUAGCCCAAAUCCAAGCACCUAUAAUCAGUCUGGGCUGUAGGUAUGCAUCAGUCAGCCCCCACAGGAGGUCCUCACAUGAAUCUUUUUUUUUUUUUUUAAUUUUUACUUUUAGAAAGAGUGUGUAAGUGGGAGAGAGGGGCAGAAGGAGAGAGAGAGAAUCCUAAGCAGCCUCCACACUCAGUGUGAAGCCAAAAUCAAGAGUCAGACACUCAAUUGACUAAGUCACCCAGGUACCCCUCCCUAUAAGAAUCUUACUGCACCAACUGGCUUGUGCAAAAAAUAUGGUAUUUCCUAAUUUUCUUUAUAUCAGCUUAAAUCCAUUUGAAAUCUCUGAUACCACUCAGUGUUGUGCCAGCGACCCGGGGUCUUAGCCUCACUGGACGCAGGUCAUGAUCCAGCAUCCGUGCCAUGCUUGGCAAGGGCAUAGCUGGGAACCUGUGGGGCAUCUGUACCUGGGGUCUGGCCUUUCCAUUCUGAAGGGGUGAGGUGUCCAAUAUAAAUCUCUUUUAACCCUAGGACCUUCAACCUUUGUCUCCUUCCCAGACUCUGGGUUUGCCUCUUUAUCUCUUUGCUCUUAAAAGUAUUCCUCUCCUCUUCCCCCUGGGACCCCUGGCAUCCUCUCUCCAGGUAACUUAGAUGUUUGCAAAAGACAGAACAGACCUUGAUCAAAGUGACUUCUAUUUUCCACUUUUAAAAAUCACUCAGAGAAGGAAAUACUAAAGGCUUGGCUCCUUGUCUGAAGUGAAUUGAAAGGGAACAUAUAGGGGAAUAAACACAAAUUAGUAUUUCAUUAAGUUAUCCUGCUAUAGGCUCUCAAAUUCCUCCUGCUCCUUGGCAGUCUCUCUCAGGGGUAAGUCUUACUGUGCCAUGGAGCAGGGGGCUCUCUCUAUGCAGGGAAACACCACAUUGUUCCACUUACUGAAUCUCUGAAUCUCCAAAACUUUAUUAGUACAUGGCAAAGUAGCUUUAUAGCCAGACAGCUCAAUAAACAGUGUCUAAAAGGAAAAGUCAGCAAUAUCAUUGAGAGUCGACACUUUUCAAAGGUGUGGGAGGAGAAAGGAAAUAGAGGGAAAAAUUAGUUGUAAUAUGGAAAAGAGUAACUUGGAGUCUAGAACUGUUUCUGAAUCUUUUGUUUUGGAUGAUAUAGGGAAUACAUAAAUGAUACAGUGCAAGUGUAGGUAGUAUUAAUAAGUUCAGGUGCUUGAGACUUUUUAUGGUAGAGGAAUCUGGAAGAAACCUAAAGGUGAGGAAGAAUUUUUAACUUUCUUUCAUGUUUAUUUUUGAGAGAGAGAGAGCAUGAGUGGUGGAGGGGCAGAGAGAGAGGGAGACAGAGAAUCCUAAGCAGGCUCUGUGCUCUCAGCACAAAGCCCGAUGUGGGGCACGAACCCACAAACUCAUGAACCAAGAGAUGAUGACCUGAGCUGAAGUGGGACCUUCAAGCAACUGAGCCACCACCCAGGCACCCCAAGGAAGAAUUUUUGAAGUCUAUCCACUUGUGAUCUUUGUUCUUCUGAUUUUGUUUCCUUCCCACUUUGUUAUUUGCUGAGAUGUUCCUCCUGGUGAGAUACGAAAAAAUUUUCCAUAAGGUAAUAAAACUAUGUUAAGGAGAGGAAAGAGUCAGACAAUAGAAGAAUUUUGCUAUAGUUAAAAAAAUUUUUUUUAAUGUUUUUAUUUAUUUUUGAAGGUGAGAGAGAGACAGAGCAUGGGCGGGGGAGGAGCAGAGAGGGAAACAGAAUCAGAAGCAGGCUCCAGGCUGUAAGCUGUCAGCACAGAGCCCAAUGCGGGCAAACUGUGAGAUCAUGACCUGAGCUGAAGCUGAACGCUCAACCGACUGAGCCACCCAGGCGCCCCUGCUAUAGUUUUAAAUUUUUGAUUUUUUAUGUGUGUUUUCUAUGACUAGUAAAAAUAUGUGACUAUUAUUUUAGGGAAUUUUGACCAGAGAUUAUGGGAGACUUUCCUCUCUAUGCCAAGCCUUGAUAGUUCACUUAUUAUUUAUAUAAGGCAUGAGCAAAAAGAUUCAGAACAUCAAGAGACCUACAUUGGUCAAGAGGGUCAUUCAGCAAAGUUCUUCCUAUUUUUUUUUUCAUGGUACUAUUAACUGAUAAUCAGAUGGUAAUUUCUGGUGAGGUAUUUCCAUCCCCUUUUCAGAUUCUGCACAGUGGAGGUCUCCUUGGUCAGGAGGGCUGGGCAGAGGGAGCAUGGGAAUUGGCCUCAGUGCAGCUCUGUGGACAUGGCCUUAAGGUAAGCAGUGAACUGACAUCCUGAUUUAUAACUGAUAAUUUCUCAUGAUGUUAUUCAAUUAUAGAUUUGCCUGUUUGGGGCACCAAGGACCAUAAAUAUGGUUCUCUAUUUUAAUACAGGCAUUGCAAGUGUCAAGUAUGCAUAAUUUCUGACAGAGAGAGAGGGAAAGGGAGAGGGGGAGGUGAUUUAUGACUUUUGCAGCUCAUUUCAUCUCUUCCCUUGUUGAUCGUGUAUAAAUUAUCUCUUUGGAAACAAAUGCUUUGGGAACACUAAUACAAUCAAGCUCAACUAUUCCUAGAUGGAUGGUUACAUGAUAAAUGGCCAAAAGCCUCAUCCCAAAGGUAGUAUUUUCCAAGGGUUUCUUGCCAUAGUCUACCCUUUGUUUUACUGACUGUGAACAGAGGAGUUACAAAACUCUGUAGAUUCUAUCAUCCAAUGCAAAGUGAAAUAGGAAGGCUAUUUUUUGCCUGUUGUAGCAAUAGCACUGGACCAGUAAAAUAAUAACACCUGGCCCACAACCAUAAGGCUUUGAAGGUGCUGGUCAUGAGAACUUUCCCCAUAGCAGCCUAGUGACCACCAUUUAAAAAGCAUGAACUGUUAAAACCCAAUUUUUAAUUUACUUUUCAACACCAUAGUCUAUAUCACAUUAGUUUUUCACAUAGUCACAGAUAAGACUGCUAUAUUUGAGUUGAUCCAGCUUAUGAUGAUAUACAAAUUGAGGUAGGGCCAAGUUUGUCUCAGUCUGUUGGGUCUAAAGUUUAUACUCCUCAUGCAGAUAAUUUUUUUUAAAAAAAUUUAAUGUUUAUUUAGUUUUGAGAGAGAGAGAGAGAGAGAGAGAGAGAGAGAGAGUUUGCGGGAAGGGCAGAGAGAGAGAGGGAGACACAGAAUCUGAAGCAGGUUCCAGGCUCUGAGCUGUCAGCACAGAGCCUGAUGCAUGGCUGGAACAUACCAACCAUGAGAUCAUGACCUGAGCCAGAGUUGGAUGCUUAACCAACUGAGCCACCUAGGCGCCUCUCCAGGCACAUACAUUUUAAUCAAAAUGCCAUAUGCUUCUUCUGAGAGGUGUCUUUUUUUUCCCAGGCAAUAGAAUGGAGCAUCUAAUUGGAAGAUGGGGAUGUCUCGGCAUCCUUGUGGACUGCAGCCCUCAUAGGGACGCUGACAGCUGUGGUUGGGUAAACUGAAUGCAUGUACGUAAUUGCCAAGCUAGUGUUAGGAUGCCCUGUCCAGGCUUCCUUCACCGUUCAGCAUCACCCACUGCACCACAUAUUUCCGUUUAGAGGAAAGAUCGGUAUUUUUAUUGAACCUCCAGUACUUCCAAAGUGAGCCAGUAAUUAUGUAAAUCACGCCAAUAACAUGUAGAAGAUAUGCAAAGUGAGUCUCCCCUUACCUAUCUGUGGUUUCGCUCUCAGCAGUUUCAGCUGCGCCGGCAGCGGUGGUCCGGAAGCAGCUGAUCUUUUUUUCUGACGAAUCGUAACGUCAAUAGUAGUCUAACUCGCUGAAGUCUCAAUAACUGCGUCAUUCACUUCACUCUAUCUCGUCGCGCAGGCAUUUUAUCCUCUCACAUCAUCACAGGAAGGGUGGCAGACGUCUCCCAGUUCUGCCGACAGCAGGUGCCAGGCGAGGGACACAGAGCCUCUUUGGGCCGCUUUCUCCCUUUGCUUCCAUCUGGAAAAUCACUGGGCUGCUUCUGGCCAGAUUUAGAUUUCCAGUGCAAGCCAUCAUUACCUUGGUUAGAGAAGUGAAGAGCUGAUGGAGAUGGGCUGCCACAUCACACUGGGGGACUGACUGAGAGAAGGGGAGCAGUGGGCAGGACCCCGCUCACAUGAUAACCCAGGCUGGCCAUCUCUCCUGUGGGCUAAAAUGGACAGACAUUUGAGAUGGCUGAAGAGCCCAAGAUGGUGUUAUUAAUUUCAUUAGUGGUAGCAGCAGCAACAGUAGUCACAGUGAUAAAGAAGUGCAAGGCGGCACAAAUGAAAGAUGCCUGGGAAGAGGCUCCAUCUAGAAGUGCCCAAACUCACCAACACUGUGUAUUUUCAGUUAGACAGUCCAGGGAAUCUGAUAUGUUGAAGAGUUAAGGCAUUGCCAGUGGUCUGGAGGCUGAGUCGUGAUAGAGCUGAGAUUCAAACCCAGGCAUUUUGCUUCAUUGCUCACGUGUUGUCAUCUUGACUACAAAUGAGGAAUCUUGCAGAAGGGGAGAUCAUGAACAAAGUUGGUAGUUUUUGAGAAGCUGCCCUUGAAGACAUGUCUAUCCUGUCUUGCUGUGAUCCCCCUCCCCCAACUUCUUGAGUUGCUUCUCUCUGGGGAGAUAUUAAAAGGAGCAGAAUUCCAGCUUGGGAGAGAAGUGUAGCCCUCAGCAGCAGCCUGCUCUGUCCUGGACCAGCUAAGUGGAUUCCUCUUUGGGACAGAGAGAAGUCCGGUUUCUAUGACAAUCCAUGGCCGUUCUGCCAAGACUGCCAGCCAGGGUGCCUGGCAGUGCUAAUUGCUAUGCAGACAUCCGUUCAUUAGACUUUGACCUAGAAUUACUAUCAUCUUUCACAAGAAUUCUGGAGAGAACUACAGAUGCUGAGUGCUUUACUUUGGUUAGCCUAAGAUAAAAUACCCAGGAGGAGGUCUACUGUGAGUAAAAUAAGCUGUGUAAGAACAUGAAGUUCAGUUCCUGGCUCACAAUCUGAAGCCCAGUAUAUGUUUAAAAUAACAUUAUCCUGGACCCGUUAGGAAGGACUUCUGCUCUCAUAAAUGGCCAAUGGCCAUUUAUAACCCAGAAGAUUAAUUUAGACAACCAAGGCCAAGAAUGAAAAAGAAUGAAAGAAGUGAAAGAAUUUGAUUAAGAGUAGUCUGACACGUCCUCUCUUUCUCAUGCUCUGCUAAGUGAUUUGACCCCUUCUCGGAAUGACCUGCAACCAGACUUAAUUUGAAGAGCUCAGAGAUAACAAAUUGCCAAUAACCAGGGCAUUUCAUGGCUGGUCUCACUAGACUGGUGACUAAGCUAAUUUUCAACAGCUGGAAGGACUUACCUCUCACACAUAAAUCAUGUAUAGUUCAGACAUUAUGGAGAAAAUCAUUCUGAAAAACAAACAGACUAUACACCUUCUGUAAGUGAAGUGUGAUUUAGGAUUAUUGAGGAAGAAUUCUGAGACUUUAAUUGAACAUAUUUUUGUUUUAGGUCACAUUUUUAUUUGCUCAUAGUAAUCACUUAUUGAUAACUAAAUAGAUAGCAUUUAACACGAUGGUUGUACUAGAUACUUUAUCUUCUUCAGCACUUUUGGAAUGAAUUUGUUUUAAAAUCAAAUGGAUCACACCAUUCCUGAGUUAUAUUUGUUCCCUGUCUCCAGUCACCACUACCCCCUCUACACCCACACUUUACCCCUUCUAGACUGCUUCUUACACUCUACUCAAAACUUUUAGAGAAAACUGUUUCAAGAAGGUAAAGUCUAGGCAACAGAAAGUUAAAUAUGCACAAGAAUGCUGUAAGUAAUAUGAAAGCUUUUUGUAGCUAAAGACUAAAGGUAGCAUGUCUACAGUGAUAGGUCAGAGACUGCUCAUUCAUUUGUUCAUUCAUCAGUAUUUAGUGAGCUCUUGGGAAUUCCCAGAUGAACUAGACACUGUUUCCUUAAGGAUUCUUCUUAAGACCAAUAAAAAUAACUAUCAGACGAAGUAGAAAUUAUACUGGUGGGGGUGGUUUGAGGAUGGGGUUGUCCCUCAUUAUCAGGGAAGGCCUUUCUGAGGAGGUGGCCCUUUACCUGGGCUUGCAGGAAUCUAAUGUGGGCAAAGGGAUGUGCCGGAACCCUCCUACCCAUUCAUCAUAUGCAUUGGCUACAGAUCUGGCUUAGUUUAGAGCCACGUUUUGUGGCCAUGGAGCACAGCAGGGCUUGCAUGGCUGAUGUAGGAUCUGAGUACACUGGCAACAUUUAUUUAACAGCUGCUCUCAUUUGCCACAGUGUGUAACUGGAAUGAGAUGGCAAUUUGGUUUUUAAUCCUGUUGCAAAAUGACCAUUGCUUAGCUCAUUCCUGAAAGAUCCUUUGAAAAGUGAAAUUCAAGGCUUGGAUUUUCUCCAGUUUAUCUGCAGAGUAUGAGAACAUUGUGGAGAACUUUUGUGUAGAAAACCUAGAGGCAAAGACAGAUCAAAAGUAGAGAAUAUCUUUAAACCUGUAUCUCGUUUGGAUCAGUUUCCCCAAAUAGCAAAAUACUACCUAUACCUUUAAAUGCAAAAAAGGGUAGUUAAAGCUGACUCCCCAAAUAAUUAGAUUUUAUUUAAAAGCUACAUGAGAAUUUCCUCACUGAUACUAGUUUCUGGCUCUUUAGAGAUGCAAAAAACUUUUUAAUCUAUAAUGGAAUUAUAACUAUUGAGACAUAAUUAUAAGACAUUAUUAAAGAACAGUUAAGCUUUUAAUCUCUGAAUGUGAGAGAUGUAAUAAGUAUGAGAAAAGCAAUUAUUAGGCAGAGAUCUGAUACAGAAUGUCCAAAUCGAAUGUGGUUGCAAAGCAAAGACCUUCCUGAUGAUCCUCAUUCCAGUGCCAGAGAACCACUGGUUUUGGGUCAGCAGUAUCUGCCUCUUUUUCACCUCAACUAAAAAUUAAACUGGUAGCUUCCACAGAGGUGUGGGGCCACAGUUUCUACCAUCUACAUGCACAUCACAGCAAGCAGCUGUAAAGAGAGAUUUCAGCCAGCAGGCACAUCCUCCCCGGCACUUUCAAAUAAAGGACAGAUCAAAAUGAAAGGCACUGAUAGACAGCCAGCAGCCAAAUCUCAUUCGCUUUGAUUCAAGUAACUCAGUUCACCAUCAAUGUGAUGGAAACAGGCUGGGAGACCACAGCCCUUGUGCUCGUAUUGAUCACCUGUCUUCCCUAGCAGCCUAUGGCAGCUCCUCUCCCAUUGUUUGGUGAGAAAACUGAACCACUUAGCAGAGACGCAGGGCAGUGUGGGAGAUUCAUGUGGAUACUUGGGGGUGGGGUGGGGCGGGAGGGGGUUCACUGUGAAUUACCUUGGUUAGUCAGGAUGUUCAAUAUUUUGGAGUUUCUAAUUAAUGCCUUCAGCUCUUUUUGCUUUAUUAAGUUGCAUCAGUGUUAACUCUUUUGGGGCCUGGGGACACCCCAGAAGAUAUUUCUGUCCUGGGCACUUGCAGUGAUUAAGAAGAGGGAGGGAAGGGGCCACAAAUGUGGAGAUACCAGGAUUCUAGAAGAGAAUAGACUUCAUUUAGCUGGCUGCUCUUCUAGGCCUGGGGCAGGCCUCAAGAGAAAGGUAUUCUGUGUUCUGCCUAUCUAGCAAUCCUUCCAGUUCUGUACCUGUUUGUUAUUUUACUAACUACUGUCAUAAGCAGUUAACAUUAAAUAUAAAAACACCA